UGGGCUAGUGGAAGGGGUCCCUGCCCAUGGCAGGGGGGUUGGAACUAGAUGAUAUUUAAGGUCCCUUCCAACCCAAGCCAUUCUAUGAUUCUGUAAUACUUCAGUGGCCCAGAAGGAGCCAGAGUAGAGAGCAGAUGCGUUUGCAUAGCUUGGGGGAAGUCGAGUGGGCCCUCCGGAGCAAGGGCUCUCCAACCCUCUUGAAAAAAUCCAAUUUUGAAUGAUAGCGGUUUAAUUUUUGGCAGGAACAGUCAUUUUUAGACCUCCUAAUGCUGCUGAGCUGUGGCAGGAACACAGUUUCUCUGCAGCAUGUCAAGUGUCAGCAGCCACAUCUCCCAGAGCUUGUAUUAGUUUUCAGCAGCUCUCAAAGACCUACUGGGGUGAGCAGAAUGUGACUGCGGAGAGCAGGAAAAACACGGGAGACCUGCUGACUCCAGCACCGUAGGUGACUAUGGUACUCCAUACCCUGUCUUGUUUUAAUCACCACACUGUUUUAGAUUUCCCUUCAAUUUGGAUUUCAUUCUUUCGGCCAGGACCUUCCUUGUGCCGAGGUCCCCGGAGUCUCGGGCACGUGCAGGGAGAUGCUUCAAGGAGCAGGGCUGCAGCUCCCCCAUCGCGUAUCGCCAUCCUUUUGGGUGGCCUCCAGCAGCGCAGCAAACCAGAAGGAAAGCCGUGCUGCUGUCGGACCUCGCUGCAACACCAGCAGGCAGCUGCCCCCCGCGCCAGGCAGAGCGGGCAGCUCGGGCAGGGACCCUCUGCCCGCGCCCUGCCUCCCCUCCCAGAGUUUCUCCCUCUGAGGCUGCGUUUGGUGACUGGCCCGGGUGACAGCUCUACAACACGUUUCAGGCUCUCCUAAAGGAAAGCCUAAGUAUUAACAGUCUUGCAGAAUUGGAUUAUGCAAAAAAAUUCUAAACUGAACAUAUUUUUGCUAGGCUGCAACAAAUCUCUCUUGGCUGAACACAGCAAACCACUAAGCUUCAUUACAAAAUUAGCUUAUAGAAUAGCCAAAGGACAAGCACAUUUCUGCACCUGGAACUAAGGUGCAGUGGGUUUCACAGGUAACCUUUUCAGCACCACUGAAAGAAAAGGAGGAGCCGCAGGAACACGGGAAGGCCCAGAAGGGACUGAUGCAGCUGGGACAGUCACUGCACCAGGGAAAAGGUGGGAGAAAGAAGUUUUGGGAUUCAAAGAGGUGCCUCAAACUGUGCUACGGUCUGGCAGGCUUUCUCUGUGCUGUGAAAUGAUGCACGCUCAGUGCUGUGCUCUGACUGUAGAGCCACCCAGCACAGAACCGCUCACAACCAGCUCUCUUAUUCUCCUGCCAUGCAGAAUGGGGACGGUGGUAUGAAACCAGCUCCCCAGUCUGCCCAGGAAUUGUCAGGGACUGUGCUCCUCCACCUGUGUCAAACCCGUGCCAAACAGUGCACCAAAACCGGGAGGGUGGCAGCGGGGUUGGUACCUAGGAAGGCACGAUUGCACAGCUUAACUAUCUAGUCUCAGUGUAACCCUUCUUUUGAUCCAUCCUUUUCUCGGGGAAAAUAGGACACUAGAUCAUUUUUAGGCAAAUAAUCAUAUUGAAGAAGUAUCUGAGCCCACUACUAAUUUCAAGGGAAACUUCUUGAACUAAUUGCUCUUUAACAAAAAAGGACAAUGGCACUACAAAGAUCACUUUGUCACAUCUCAGGCAGUGAAUCCUGACAUCCCACCAGCUGAAUUAUCAGAAAGUUGUUUUUUUUUUUCCUUGUAUUCCUCUAUAACCAUCAUCAAAUCACAACCGCUUGUAAGACAAAAGAUGGUUUGGCUUGCCAGUACUUCUUCCUCUCCCCAAAACAGUUCUGCUGUAUUUAAAUACAGUUCUGGAGAGUCUCUGGUUCAUCAUUUUAGAAACUACCCUCCCGUCUGAUACAUGCAGCGUAAGAUAGGGUAGCUGAGCACAGGUUUUGAGCCGACACUAUUAAUCCCCACUAAUAAAACAGCAAGAGGCCAUGCAUAUUAACCAAAUUACUGCAUUAUUCAGCUAACGAAGACAAACGCCAGUCCAAAAGGAGUAAGAGAGCCUCGCCAGCCAGCUGGCUGUCUAUAUAUACUUCCUAUUACUACUAUUUUUUAAGUGAGGCAAAACCACAGUUGCUGAGAAGACUGAAGAGGGUCAUUUUUUCAGCUAAUCAUGAAAAAUUACUCUUUAGUGCAUGAACAGAUAUUGCCACUUCUGAACUUACUGACUUCCACAAGUUCUGGAGGUUUCUUACCUGGCUGUGCAACAAGAUUCCAGUUAAAAGGUUCUGAUGGUGAAAGCAUUAAAGCCAUAUUUUUUAAAUUACUCAACCCAAGAUCUUAGAAAACAAAACCAAUGAACCUGAAACUACAGAACCGAUUUGCACACUUACUUAGACUCUUGGUUUCCCUCAAAUCUGGGUUUUUCGUGUGCAAACAAAUACUUUGAAUCCUUUUUUCCCCUUUCUUUGUAGUUGCCUUUUCUUUCUGGCAGCGCUGCAAUGGAUGGAGAGCUCUGCCUUUUCAGUAGCCCAGAAAAUGGGCAGAACUCUUUCCCAAAGAGCAACUAAGAAAACAGAUCAGUGAUGGAGCAGUUUUAGGAAGCGAGUUGUCUUUUACCUGGAAAAACUCUCCCAGAAAAGAGUAUGCUCCAGCUUCCCCGAGUUUUCUGCAUGUGUACAAUGUGCCCAUGGCCUUCUGCACACAUCAGGAUGUAAAAGUCACCCGAUUUCCUCCUCCAGCACUCAAGGACUGAAGCAGAAAACGAGGAAGGCUCCAUUUGACAGAGGAUGAAAGCAAUCUGGAAAGACAAUGCCUCAGUGCUAACGCACUCGCUGCAGGGAAGGCAAUCCCACAGACCGCGUGGACUGCGAGCAGACGUGGCUGAGGCUUUCCGGCUUCCUCCUGAACCAUCUCACCGUUUCCUUAGCCUGUAGGUUGCUGGGUUUUGAGUCAUGAUUUACUCUUUCUGCAUGCAUGGAAGUUUGCCUUCUCACGGCCAUAGCCUGCCUGCCUCAAGCUGCCUUGCCAGACACCAAAGGCAGGCAAACAGGCAGAUAGGCUCACAGAUUAAACUUCAAAACUGGUUAGAAGAUUUAUCCCAGCAGCCGAACUCAAGCCAGAUGCAACCCUGAGGCAGGAUUCCAUCUGUCAUCUCUUGUGAGCGAAGUGCCACCUUCAUCGUUCACAGGACGUUGAGCACAGCUUUCACAGCUGGAAAUGGAGAGUUAGCCAGAGCUGCAGCCUCAGCCAGAGGAGCACACCGAGCGUGCAACCACCCGGCAGCAUGGGCCACCUCUGCCCACCCAGCACUGCAGCUUCAGGACGGAUUCACGCUUCCCGUAUCCUAACCGCAAGCGGAUCGGCGCUCAUCGGUUUGCAAGCAAGAUGAGGCAAGCUGAUGCUAAGCCGAAGGUUUGGCUGUGUAAUCACACGUAGGAAAGCAAUGCUGGUCUAACCGCAAAAUGUAGCAUUAAACCAAUGGACACGUUUGAGUGCACAUGCGUUUUUCUUUAGAAAAUUAUUAGAAAAUUAUAUCCAUUCAUGGAUUUAGAAUGGUUACAAGAUAGAAGGACUUUUGCCCACACAACGCCUGUGUUAGCACAGGGGUAGCUGGGAAGGCUUUCUCACGUGCAAACUGUUUUCCCUCAGAAUGAAGCUGUUGCAGACUCUCCAGCCCCAUCAGGAUGUGUACUGACUGCACCUCCCGGCUGCUCAGGCCACAGGUUGGUUCUAAGAAAAAGCAGAAAGAUGAGCACAGAACUGUAAAAUCCAUUGUCAUGUUUCACAUAAGCAAAGUGAGGGAGACAAUACAAAAAUCAGCAAAAAAAUUGCAGGUAUUGUUUAGGAUAUGACUUGAUGCUCAGAAAAAUCUUCCUUGAAAAAUAGUAGUUAGAACAGACAGGUAGGACAUCUUCCCCUGGGAGACAAAAGCAUUAUGGAGGCCUGCAGAGCCCAGGGGCUGAAGAGUUUGUGUUGCUCUGCCAGAGCACUGAUCCCACAGUAAAGCCUUCCCUUCCAGUUGCUCUGCAGAGCGGGGAGCAGGACCAUCCACGGGAUCUUCCCAUCUUCCACACGCUUGCAAGAACGAUGUGCUCUUCUGUGGACAAAGCCUUGAGUCACUGCUCCCAGUUCGCUCUCCGAGGGCUCUGACUGCAGAGACUGUCACCUUUUAGUGAAAGGCUGUGACAGAAAGCUGGUGUCAUUACACCCUCUCCUCCCCUUCUCUUCCAUUAAAACAUGACCCUGCUAGAAAUAAACAUUGCUGCAGUUUGGGAACUGGUCAGAGGGAAAGAAACAGCAGAGAUGCUUAAAAACUUAAAGUAGUUGCUGCUGCUGCUGUCACCAUUGCCGGACACCUCUUUCCCAGCUGAGACCUGGAGGUGACACCCAGCCUGCCAGAGCCACUUCCUCGCCAGAGCACACGUACGCGGGAACGGGAAGAAGCAGAGCUAACGCAGCCAUCUUUUGAGUCAAAUUCUCAUCUCUUCUUUAUGCCCAGCGUUCACGCCACGCACAGCUUGCAACACUAUCAGAGCAGCACUCAGACCACCACCUUUUGUUGAUAGCUUCUGGAGGCCAUGCUAGAAGAACAGAGUUAUGAACCCCGAGACCCAUGUUUUCCAACCGCAUGCAAAAAACCCUAAACGCUGGCAGUGGUGUAUGCAUUCUAGCAAAUACACAAGAAGCAUUGUGUAAAACUGUAAACGGACAAGCACUGGUCAAUUUACAACAGGACCCAAAAAGUCCUGCCUUUACAGGUUAAGUGAACCAGCAAGUCCCAAAGUCUUCCACUGGCCUAGACGUGCAACCUAAUCCAGAUGGAUUUACAUAGUUCUGAAGUGGACGUGUAUGAAACCUGAAAAUUGACAAUUUUUUGAUGAUUUAAAACCAGUCACGUUACAUACUUUUUAUUUAAUAAAAGUUAAAAACAGGUACAAAAAUGUGAUUCCAUUUCUUUAAAAUAUAGGCUCAAAAUAAGACGACUGAACAAGAGUUCAGGCAGUAAAGUGCAAAGAGAGCAGCUAUCCCAGUCAUGCUUAAUCCAUAAAUAACCCUUACACAGCAGAAAGGAACAGAAAGAGCAGACAGAGCAGCCACAGUGCGGCUCAGCUAUUCAUGCACAUCCGCAAGGGAAAGAGCUGCACAUCCCGGACACGGGUGGCAGGAGGCAGCGCACACCUCACAGGAGCAGGCUGUGAGGAAUCGCAGGCCAGGUAAACCUAACAAAGAGGCAGCCGUCGCUUUUCCACAUCACGACACGAAUACGCAAUACACGCUUUUUGCAAUUCCAUAUUCUCCAGCUCAUCAUUUCCCCGCCACGAUGCAACAACUCACAUGACAAUUUACUAAAUUAUGGCACAAGUUCCCAAAUUGUUUUGCUCAAGUGAACACCAUAAAGGGCUAGUCUGUAAAAAAAAUGAAGUCCUAAAUUGGCUACUGGACUGAGACAGGAUGCUCUUCCCCCAGUUAAAAGCAUGCUGAAAUGGCAUCCAAAAGUCAGACUUCUUGUUCUAAGGGAUUUCUGAGGAGAGA